rnacentral:rRNA from 1 species
UACGGGGGGGGCAAGCGUUGUUCGGAAUUACUGGGCGUAAAGGGCGCGUAGGCGGCCUGCUAAGUCGAACGUGAAAUCCCUGGGCUCAACCCGGGAACUGCGUCCGAUACUGGAAGGCUUGAAUCCGGGAGAGGGAUGCGGAAUUCCAGGUGUAGCGGUGAAAUGCGUAGAUAUCUGGAGGAACACCGGUGGCGAAGGCGGCAUCCUGGACCGGCAUUGACGCUGAGGCGCGAAAGCCAGGGGAGCAAACGGG